rnacentral:rRNA from 1 species
ACUCAAAGGAAUUGACGGGGGCCCGCACAAGCGGUGGAGCAUGUGGCUCAAUUCGAGGCAACGCGAAGAACCUUACCUGGGCUUGACAUAUACCUGACAGCCGUGGAAACACGGUCUUCCUUCGGGACGGGUAUACAGGUGCUGCAUGGCUGUCGUCAGCUCGUGUCGUGAGAUGUUCGGUUAAGUCCGGCAACGAGCGCAACCCGUGUCGUCAGUUGCGAACAGGUGAAGCUGAGCACUCUGGCGAGACUGCCCGUGUCAAGCGGGAGGAAGGCGCGGAUGACGUCAAGUCCGUAUGGCCCUUACGCCCAGGGCUGCACACGUGCUACAAUGGACGGUACAGAGGGAUGCGACACUGCGAGGUGAAGCCAAUCCAGAAAACCGUCCCCAGUUCAGAUUGAAGUCUGCAACUCGACUUCAUGAAGCCGGAAUCGCUAGUAAAGGCGUAUCAGCAACGACGCCUUGAAUACGUUCCCGGGCCUUGUACACACCGCCCGU